rnacentral:rRNA from 1 species
GGCCUCCCAAUCUUUCCACCCCUAAGAAAAAUGCCAUUCCUUCCAGAGUCGAUGAGGAUAAGGAAAGCUGCGUCGGCCACCGCCGGUGCGGCGCGCCGGUCGAGAGGCGUACAGGCCUCGGAGGAAGCAACCGGCUCAGCCCGUGGUGGCGCAAUGGCAGCUGCUCGUCGCGGAGCCGAUGCGAGCAAGGGCGGGCGGCGCUCCGGCCGUGCUGUGGCGUCGACCUGUCCGUUGAAUCCAAGGCCAUUCCAGGGCCUUCAAAGUCCCGGCUUGAGCAAAGAGUUUGAUGUAAUCUCCCUUCCUUCUUCGUCCGCACAAGUACCUUGAGCAAAAUACACAGGUUGCUUUGGAGCUGGAAGUGGUGCGCUUCGUUCUCGAACAUAAACAUAACCGAUGACAUAAGUGGCCUAUCCCUAGCAUGGUCCUGAACACACAAGAGUCCCACAUGAAUACAACGCAGAACUUCAUGAAGUCGGAAACUUGCAACAAAGGAAGAGUCCACAAGUUCAAUGGCGUUUCCAUCUUCCCACAGUCUCCAUGCCUGAGCAAUAGAGUGAGGUCAACAUCAAGUUACUAACUUUACUGUUGGGAAAGGGGGGAGGGGGAGAUUGAAAAUAUCUUGUAAUCAUACUGACAUAAGUGAUAAGGC